GCCUUUUCCUCUUCUUUUCCCCACUGUAUCAGAGAUUCGAGCUAAACUUUGAAUAAAUUAAAUAAAAAAUGAGCUAGCAAAGCUGAUAUAUCUCCAAAUUCAACGACAUGGAAUAUGGAAUCCAGAUAUAUGAUAGAACAGCACAAUUCACCAAGAAAUGAAAGUGGAAGCAUACCAUUGAAGAAAAUUCAUAAGCUAUAUAAUUUCACAGACGAAAAAAAUAAAAAGAAGCCUUCAUUGAUAUAAAAAUUUUGAACUGACAUACCUGUUCUUUCAUCUCAUCAGAAA
rnacentral:misc_RNA from 1 species